UGGGGAAUAUUGGACAAUGGGCGCAAGCCUGAUCCAGCCAUGCCGCGUGAGUGAUGAAGGCCUUAGGGUUGUAAAGCUCUUUUGUCCGGGAAGAUAAUGACCGUACCGGAAGAAUAAGCUCCGGCUAACUUCGUGCCAGCAGCCGCGGUAAUACGAAGGGAGCUAGCGUUGUUCGGAAUUACUGGGCGUAAAGCGCAUGCAGGCGGAUCGUUAAGUCGAGGGUGAAAUCCCAGGGCUCAACCCUGGAACUGCCUUCGAUACUGGCGGCCUUGAGUCCGGGGGAGGUGAGGGGAACUCCGAGUGUAGAGGGGAAAUUCGUAGAUAUUCGUAAGAACACCAGUGGCGAAGGCGGCUCACUGGCCCGGUACUGACGCUGAGAUGCGAAAGCGUGGGGAGCAA
rnacentral:rRNA from 1 species